rnacentral:rRNA from 1 species
UACGUAGGGUGCGAGCGUUGUCCGGAAUUAUUGGGCGUAAAGGGCUCGUAGGCGGUUUGUCGCGUCGGGAGUGAAAUCCACUGGCUUAACUGGUGGCUUGCUUUCGAUACGGGCAGACUGGAGGUAUGCAGGGGAGAACGGAAUUCCUGGUGUAGCGGUGAAAUGCGCAGAUAUCAGGAAGAACACCGAUGGCGAAGGCAGCUCUCUGGGACGGUACUGACGCUGAGACGCGAAAGCGUGGGGAGCGAACAGG